AGAUGCCCAAGUGAACAGAUUAAGUUCCAAACUUAGAAUCUUAUUUCACUGGCCAGCAGCUUUAAUAUGGGUUGAUGGAAGAUUUUUCGAAAUCGUCAAAGGAUCAGGAGCUCGAUGUUUCUUGAACUUCUCUGAACUCUGACAAUGCAUCCUUGGAAUGGUAAAGGAUGUUUGCAUGUACCUCCUGGUCCUUGUUGUGUGGAUCUGGCUUUAUAUAAGGUAAAGGCUUGGUAAAUCAUACUUCAAAGCCAAAUUUGCAAAUGUGGAUAAUAUAUUCUGUUGGAAACAUGAACAUCAAAUUGUGAUGUUGCUAAACAAGAUGAAUGAUACUCGUGAAAACUUGGAAGAUGCCAGGAUGACGAUCUUGCAGGCCAGUGACCUUCCAUUUGUGCAUAUUGCAGGAACCACUUGUGCAAAUAACUGGGAGUUGUACCAAUUGAAGGUAUUCUAUCAGAUGACAUCACAUGCAAUCGGUUCAAUCGGUCGAACUGGUACAGCAAUGUUCC